AAGCUCGUAGUUGAAUUUCGAGAUCAGUACGCUGGUCGUGCCUUCGGUAUGCACUGGUGUCACUGGUUUCUCCCUUCUGAAGAACCGUCAUGUCAUUAAGUUGGUGUGGCGGGGAAUCAGGACUGUUACUUUGAAAAAAUUAGAGUGUUUAAAGCAGGCUCGCGCUUGAAUACAUUAGCAUGGAAUAAUGAAAUAGGACGUUUGACCCUAUUUUGUUGGUUUCUAGGAUCGACGUAAUGAUUAAUAGGGAUAGUUGGGGGCAUUAGUAUUCAAUUGUCAGAGGUGAAAUUCUUGGAUUUAUUGAAGACUAACUACUGCGAAAGCAUUUGCCAAGGAUGUUUUCAUUAAUCAAGAACGAAAGUUAGGGGAUCGAAGACGAUCAGAUACCGUCGUAGUCUUAACCAUAAACUAUGCCGGCUAGGGAUCGGAUGAUGUUAAUUUUUUAAUGACUCAUUCGGCGCCUUACGGGAAACCAAAGUGUUUGGGUUCCGGGGGGAGUAUGGUCGCAAGGCUGAAACUUAAAGGAAUUGACGGAAGGGCACCACCAGGGGUGGAGCCUGCGGCUUAAUUUGACUCAACACGGGAAUA
rnacentral:rRNA from 1 species